CUGCUGUGAUGUGUUGAAUUUCUUCACCUGACUGUAUUUCCAUUUGAUGACAGUAAACGAGCUUUUUAAGUCUGAGUAGC